rnacentral:rRNA from 1 species
UGUAGUCUCGAGAAGCGUUCUCUCGGCGGAUCCUCCCAGUCGAAGUUGCUUGGAAGAGCACAUCAGAGAGGGUGACAAUCCCGUUCGCGACAGGGACGGACCGCUCACGACACGCUUUCCAUGAGUCGGGUUGCUUGGGAAUGCAGCCCAAAAUUGGUGGUAAACUCCAUCUAAAGCUAAAUAUUGGCACGAGACCGAUAGCGAACAAGUACCGUGAGGGAAAGAUGAAAAGAACUUUGAAAAGAGAGUUAAAAAGUGUGUGAAACCGUUAGAGGGGAAACGGAUGCAGUUAGCAAUGCUCCUGCGAGAUUCAGGCGAUCGCUUGUCGAGACGUGCAGUUGACGGAUCCGAAUGGACCGUCGCUGCACGGCCCCGUCUUGCGUCCGCCGCACUUCUCGUCGGAGUGCGUCAACAACUGCUGAACGUGUGGACUACACGGCGCACACGUGGAAGGUAGGUGCCCGGUUCACUCCGGAGUGCUGUUACAGCCACGAGCGUCCCAGUCUGUGUUCGGCAGAGGUGAGCGGUGCAUGCUCUCGCCGUCAGGUGAGGGCUGGCGUCCUGUCUCGAUCAUCCUGUAGCCGUCCGAGGUGCACUGCGUGCAGUUCGUCUUGGAAGGUGAACGGACGUGCAGGUUAACGCACACGAUGCGCCAUGGUUGUUGGCGGCCAUAUGGCUUUAUCCGACCCGUCUUGAAACACGGACCAAGGAGUCUAACAUGUGCGCGAGUCUUGGGGUGACCGAAACCCAGAGGCGCAAUGAAAGUGAAGGCUGCCUAGCAGCUGAGGUGAGAUCCUCGUCGCCGCGUGCCACUCGUGGGUGCGUGUGCGGCUGGGCGCAUCAUCGACCGACCUGUUCUACUCUUAGAAAGGUUUGAGUAAGAGCGUACGUGCUGGGACCCGAAAGAUGGUGAACUAUGCCUGAGUAGGGUGAAGCCAGAGGAAACUCUGGUGGAAGCUC